AUAAUUGUGUUCUUUUCACAGUAACAUUUGUAACAGUGAGCAAAUUCUCUUAAGUUGCAGUUGUCUGUAUGACCGGUUUUAUUUAUUUGCCCUGUAUCAAUUUGCCUUAAUUUUACACAGAUCUGUGACAACAUUAAACUGGGAGAAAUAGAUUCUAUAGGAAAUGUCAGGGGAGUUAAGGGAAUCAGCCCCUUUUCCUAGCUAGGUUAUAACUCUUACUUCAUGGCUCUAUAAGUACUUUGAAUGAGAUGCUGACAGUGUUUCUAACAGUCAUUAACCCUGGCCUUCCCUGGAGUAAUUAAGUGAUUGUCAGAAGCAAACACUAAAUAUGCUUGAAAAGCCGCCAUGCUAUUAUAGAAAUGAGUACACAUAUGCUUCAGACGUAGACUUUUGUUUGAAGUAGUACUCCUUUGCAUAGGAACCAGUAAUACUCUCAGCAGAAAACCUAGUGAGCUUCUACUGCAUUACUAAGCAUGUCAUGAGCAAAACAAAAUGCUUCUGUAAAUUUUUUUGUUUAAAACGUUUUCCAAGAAAAACUAACAAAACUGACCUCAGUAAAAAAAAACAGAGUUUGACCCUGCAAAUGUGUUACUGUAUUUAAGUGAGCAACAUGUCACUUAUUUCUGAAAUAUCAAGUUUGUUUUAUUUUAGCCUGCAAAUUCACAGAGAAGCAUGAAUGGAUAUCUGUUGAAAAUGGCAUUGGAACAGUAGGAAUCAGCAGUUUUGCACGGGAAGCAUUAGGAGAUGUUGUUUACUGUAGUCUUCUAGAAAUUGGGACAAAAUUGAGUAAAAAUGAGAGAGCUCUUUUGCUAGUAUAUGAAGAGGUUGCAGAAAAAGAACAUAGAGUUACUGAGGUAAAGUAGCAGGCCUUUCUUUUUGCCAUCCUCCUUUGUGGAAUAGGUUCAUAGUGAACUGUUUUGGCCAGUUCUAGUACAUCACAUUGAAUGGUGAAUGUUAAAGAAAAGGUCUUUCUGUUUAGGGUUUUAAUUAACCAACUUGUA